rnacentral:rRNA from 1 species
GAGCGGCGGACGGGUGAGUAAUGCCUAGGAAUCUGCCUGGUAGUGGGGGAUAACGUUCGGAAACGGACGCUAAUACCGCAUACGUCCUACGGGAGAAAGCAGGGGACCUUCGGGCCUUGCGCUAUCAGAUGAGCCUAGGUCGGAUUAGCUAGUUGGUGAGGUAAUGGCUCACCAAGGCGACGAUCCGUAACUGGUCUGAGAGGAUGAUCAGUCACACUGGAACUGAGACACGGUCCAGACUCCUACGGGAGGCAGCAGUGGGGAAUAUUGGACAAUGGGCGAAAGCCUGAUCCAGCCAUGCCGCGUGUGUGAAGAAGGUCUUCGGAUUGUAAAGCACUUUAAGUUGGGAGGAAGGGUUGUAGAUUAAUACUCUGCAAUUUUGACGUUACCGACAGAAUAAGCACCGGCUAACUCUGUGCCAGCAGCCGCGGUAAUACAGAGGGUGCAAGCGUUAAUCGGAAUUACUGGGCGUAAAGCGCGCGUAGGUGGUUCGUUAAGUUGGAUGUGAAAGCCCCGGGCUCAACCUGGGAACUGCAUUCAAAACUGACGAGCUAGAGUAUGGUAGAGGGUGGUGGAAUUUCCUGUGUAGCGGUGAAAUGCGUAGAUAUAGGAAGGAACACCAGUGGCGAAGGCGACCACCUGGACUGAUACUGACACUGAGGUGCGAAAGCGUGGGGAGCAAACAGGAUUAGAUACCCUGGUAGUCCACGCCGUAAACGAUGUCAACUAGCCGUUGGAAUCCUUGAGAUUUUAGUGGCGCAGCUAACGCAUUAAGCGACCGCCGGGACGCGCAGAUAACAA